UACGGAGGAUGCAAGCGUUAUCCGGAUUCAUUGGGUUUAAAGGGUGCGCAGGCGGAGUGAUAAGUCAGUGGUGAAAGCCUACAGCUUAACUGUAGAACUGCCAUUGAUACUGUCAUUCUUGAGUAUUGUUGAGGUAGGCGGAAUGUGUCAUGUAGCGGUGAAAUGCUUAGAUAUGACACAGAACACCGAUCGCGAAGGCAGCUUACCAGGCAAUAACUGACGCUCAUGCACGAAAGCGUGGGGAUCAAACAGG
rnacentral:misc_RNA from 1 species